CUACGGGCCGUAGCAGUGAGGAAUAUUGCACAAUGGGGGGAACCCUGAUGCAGCAACGCCGCGUGGAGGAUGACGCAUUUCGGUGUGUAAACUCCUUUUAUAUGUCAAGAAAAUGACGGUAGCAUAUGAAUAAGCACCGGCUAACUCCGUGCCAGCAGCCGCGGUAAUACGGAGGGUGCAAGCGUUACUCGGAAUCACUGGGCGUAAAGGACGCGUAGGCGGGUUGGAAAGUCAGGUGUGAAAUCCUACAGCUUAACUGUAGAACUGCACUUGAAACUUCUAAUCCAGAGUAUGGGAGGGGGAGAUGGAAUUAGUGGUGUAGGGGUAAAAUCCGUAGAUAUCACUAGGAAUACCUAAAGCGAAGGCGAUCUCCUGGAACAUUACUGACGCUAAGGCGUGAAAGCGUGGGGAGCAAACAGGAUUAGAUACCCCCGUAGUC
rnacentral:rRNA from 1 species